CUAGAUUCUCGGCUGAAAGCGGUCAGCGAGCCAGGUCAAGCGCAAGGCAGAGUAAACUAACACAAAACAGUCGGCAACAGGAGCGGAUCUAGGUUGUAAUGGCCUUUAAGCAGCCAAUUUCCAAUCGAUCAAAUCACACCUAUCCUCAACUAAGAACUAGAAACCCUUCAGUACACGCAGAAUCAGGAACUUCCAAAUAACCAGAAGCGAACCAAGGGCAACUUGGACUAGAACUGAGAGAUGGCAAAAAGUUUUAUCUGGUUUCUGUUAGCCUCGAGGGGAAGUUAAAUGGUCCAAGAGCAACCUUUUAUGCAGUUGUUUAUGAACGUGAGUAUAUGGUGGGUGGUGUGGCUGGUUUCAUACCUGGGCAAAUUCUUUGGUGCAUUUUUUUCCUGGUCUCUUCGGUUGCGUCUCUCCGAUAAAUGGCGGCAAUUUUUGGGUGUCGCUCUUUAAACAAGCUUGAUGAGCGGGCAGGAGAUCUUUUCAGUAUGAUUUAUACGAUCCGGAUACUUACUUGCGUAUCUGUGACAAAGUGUUUCUUUGAUUUAUAGCCUUAAUGGAAAAAAAUAAAGCCAUGCAAUGGUAUUGAAA